GGAGAGAUAGCUCAGUGGUUAAGAGCACUGGCUGCUCUUCCAGAGGACCUGGGUUAAAUUCCCAGCACCC
rfam:Cricetulus griseus cell line CHO-K1, whole genome shotgun sequence.